AACGAACGCUGGCGGCAUGCCUAACACAUGCAAGUCGAACGAGACCUUCGGGUCUAGUGGCGCACGGGUGCGUAACGCGUGGGAACCUGCCCUUAGGUUCGGAAUAACUCCCCGAAAGGGGUGCUAAUACCGGAUAAUGUCUUCGGACCAAAGAUUUAUCGCCUUUAGAUGGGCCCGCGUUGGAUUAGCUAGUUGGUAGGGUAAAAGCCUACCAAGGCGACGAUCCAUAGCUGGUCUGAGAGGAUGAUCAGCCACACUGGGACUGGGACACGGCCCAGACUCCUACGGGAGGCAGCAGUGCGUAAUAUUGGACAGUGGGCGAAAGCCUGAUCCAGCAAUGCCGCGUGAGUGAUGAAGUCCUUAGGGUUGUAAAGCUCUUUUACCCGGGAUGAUAAUGACAGUACCGGGAGAAUAAGCUCCGGCUAACUCCGUG
rnacentral:rRNA from 1 species